rnacentral:rRNA from 1 species
UACGUAGGGUGCGAGCGUUGUCCGGAAUCAUUGGGCGUAAAGGGUACGUAGGCGGUUAGAAAAGUUAGAAGUGAAAGGCUAUAGCUCAACUAUAGUAAGCUUUUAAAACUGUUUAACUUGAGAGAUGGAAGGGAAAGUGGAAUUUUUAGUGUAGCGGUGAAAUGCGUAGAUAUUAAAAAGAAUACCGGUGGCGAAGGCGACUUACUGGGCUCAUUCUGACGCUGAGGAACGAAAGCGUGGGGAGCAAACAGG